AUGACGAUGCCGAGGAGGAAGAGCCGGCGGAGCCAGCGGCCAAAGGGAGAAAGAAGAAGCGGCCAUCCAACCCCAGGCCUGGCGAGCCUCGUGUCAAGUGGACGCCAAAGGAAGACAAGUGCCUCGCCGAAGCAUGGAAGACUGUCAGCAUCAACCCAAUCACCGGCGCGAAUCAGAACGCCGACACCUACUGGAGAAGGAUCAAGACGGCGUUCGACGAGCGCAAAUUGGUCGACCCCGACUUCUCCAGCAUUCACAUGGAUCGCGGCGAGAAGGCCAUGGCGAACCAUUGAGCGACCAUCCAGCAGGCCUGCAACAAGUGUCAUGGGAUUCAAGAGGAGGUCAUGGCUCGCUCGAAAAGCGGCGCCAACUUCAAGCGUCAGGUAUGUCCAUCGCUCGCCGGCCCAGCUCUUCGCCGUGUACUUCGCCGACACUUGUUCUUCGACUGUGCAGAUGGUUCGGAUGUUCGACAUGUUUCGCCAGGACAACAUCGACCAAGAGUUCAAGUUCCUUCAUGUGUUCACCAAGAUCGAGUCAUGCGAGAAAUGGACAGAGUGCCGGCUCGCUCUCGCCAAGGCCAAGGAUGGUGUCUCCAACCCGGACGCGCUUGCCUCAGCAGCGGUAGAACGGCGUCCUGAUGGCAACAAAAGAGCCAAGGGGGCGAGGGACGCGACACCCGCUGUGGAAUGGCUGCAAUCGUCGAUAGAACAGUGCAUCGCCGACGCCAAGAGCAACGCCGCCAAGAGGGAGGAGAAAUCCGAGGCGAGGUGGUCGGCGUUGAUGAUGAAGCAGGGCGUCAAGUUCGACCUUCUCAGAACCAAUAUGUCGCUGCGAAGAAGAGGAACACCGACCUGGCGUUCCUGA
rnacentral:rRNA from 1 species